AAUGAGAAGGAAAUCCUACCACCACGGGAAAAGCUAUGAAGCCUUACCACCAAACUGUCUCUCAUAAUCAAUUUGGACAGUGGCAAAUUUUCACCAAAAUGAUGAUGCCACAUUGCCACUCAACUGUGGCUCAUGAGUCCCCACCUGAUAUAAUUAUGACCUGCAUAUAUUGCUCUAUUUUCUUCAUUUAGAUCAAGAGUAUAGAUGUCAUACACGUCUAAUUGAUAAUAGAACGUGGACCAGAUCGACAAACUCCAUAAAAUGUUGAGAAAUGAGAAGCUAACUUGAGGUUUCCUCCUUUGUCUAUUUGUUUUUUUUUUUUUUGAGAAGCAUCCUUUGUCUAUUUGUUAACUAUACCAUUUAUCCUUACCUACAUAAAUCUUCAGCACUCCCUCCCUCUUACAAAUACUUGUUAUCCUUUCUUGAACUACGUUUUGUGCACCUGCAAAAAAAUACUUACUAAGAAGAAGAAGAAGAAGAAGAAACAAUGUAUGCACCGCCGGGUUUUCAAACGGUACCAUACGUUGAUCAUAUCCAAAGACGCCAUGAGGAGAAAGGCUUCCUUUAUGCUUGUUUGUUCGCGCUGUGCUGCUGUUUCUGCUGCUUUGAGACUUGUGAGUGUUGCUUAGAGAUUCUUUGUUGUUGCUGCCCUUAAAACAACUGAGAUGUUGUGGAGGCACAGAGGGUUGAUGAGAUACCAUCAACCUCCGUAACAUAUAUACAUAUACAUACAUAUAUAUAUAUAUAUAUAUAUAUAUAAAUACUCGAUUCCUCUGGUUCCCUAUCAUAUUUUGUCAAACUAAUGGAAAAUAUCUCAAAUCUUAAUUUCAGUUUAUGAAAUUUAUUCUAUUUGAGAGCAGUGUCCAAUCUAAUUGCCCUCUUAAUCUACCCCUGCUGUAAAAUUUCAUGAAGUUGUAUAAAGACACCAGAAAUCAAUAUAUAGAGCUUGAUGGGUUAUGGAA